GGCGGUGUGGUGGAAUGGCAGACACGCCUGACUCAAAAUCAGGUAUCCGUGAGGAUGUGCAAGUUCGAGUCUUGUCACCGCUA
rnacentral:tRNA from 1 species